rnacentral:antisense_RNA from 14 species
CUUCACCGACCCGAGCCACAACGGCCGCUCCGCCGAACGCCCUUGGCCGUACGUGGCGAGCAGGGCCUGCGCCUC